AACGAACGUUAGCGGCGCGCCUAACACAUGCAAGUCGAGCGAGAAAGGGAGCAAUCCCCGGUACAGCGGCGCACGGGUGAGUAACACGUAGGUAACCUACCCUCGAAUGGUGGAUAACCUUCCGAAAGGAGGGCUAAUACAGCAUGAGCCCACGAGGUCAAGAGACCAUGGGGGAAAAGCCGGCCUCUUCAUGAAAGCUGGUGUUCGAGGAUGGGCCUGCGGCCCAUCAGCUAGUUGGUGGGGUAAUGGCUCACCAAGGCUAAGACGGGUAGCUGGUCUGAGAGGAUGAUCAGCCACACUGGAACUGAGACACGGUCCAGACUCCUACGGGAGGCAGCAGGUGGGGAAUCUUGCGCAAUGGGCGAAAGCCUGACGCAGCGACGCCGCGUGAGUGAUGAAGGCCUUCGGGUUGUAAAGCUC
rnacentral:rRNA from 1 species